AGGACGAACGCUGGCGGCGUGCUUAACACAUGCAAGUGGAGCGACGAACCAGGGCUUGCCCUGGGGCAGAGCCGCGAACGGGUGAGUAACACGUGGGUUACCUGCCUUGAUGACCGGGACAACCCGAGGAAAACUCGGGCUAAUACCGGAUGUGCCCGCAAGGGGAAAGGAAGCUUCGGCCUCCGCAUCAAGAUGGGCCCGCGGCCCAUUAGCUUGUUGGUGAGGUAACGGCUCACCAAGGGCUUCGAUGGGUAGCUGGUCUGAGAGGACGAUCAGCCACACUGGGACUGAGACGCGGCCCAGACUCCUACGGGAGGCAGCAGUGGGGAAUCUUGCGCAAUGCGCGAAAGCGUGACGCAGCAAACGCCGCGUGGGGGAAGAAGGCUUUCGGGUUGUAAACCCCUUUCAGUUGGGACGUAAGCUUACUUCGGUGAAUAGCCGAAACGGAGUGACGGUACCUUCACAAGAAGCACCGGCUAACUACGUGCCAGCAGCCGC
rnacentral:rRNA from 1 species